ACAUUUUUGUUCUGGAACAUGGAAGGAAUCAACAGUUUCCAUAUGUCUCCCCAGCUACACAGCAAAUUCCUCAAGGGUUGAAGCCACAUGGCAUUCCUCUUUGAAACCCCAGUGCUGACACAUAGUAAGCAUUCCGGUGGCUACUACAGCGUUUGGCAGAGAGUAAACUCAAGGAGAUACAUCAAUCUAAAUACAGGUGAGAGGGCCCAGACCUUCCUGGAUGUCCCGCC